CCGCCUGCCCUGUGACUAUAUGUUUAACGGCCGCGGUAUCUUAACCGUGCGAAGGUAGCGUAAUCACUUGUCUUUUAAAUGAAGACCUGUAUGAAUGGCAUCACGAGGGCUUAACUGUCUCCCCUCUCCAGUCAAUGAAAUUGACCUCCCCGUGCAGAGGCGGGGAUAUUUCUAUAAGACGAGAAGACCCUGUGGAGCUUUAGACCUAAAGUAAACCACGUUUAAUGUACUAAAAUUAAUAGCAAAAACUUAGUGGACAUUUAUUUAAGUGUCUUUGGUUGGGGCGACCGCGGAGUAAAACACAACCUCCAUGUGGACGGGGAUACUUUCCCUAAAACUCAGAGCCUCCACUCCAAGCAACAGAAAUUCUGACCUUACUGAUCCGGUACAACCGAUUAACGAACCCAGUUACCCCAGGGAUAACAGCGCAAUCCCCUCUCAGAGCUCAUAUCGACGAGGGGGUUUACGACCUCGAUGUUGGAUCAGGACAUCCUAGUGGUGCAGCCGCUAUUG
rnacentral:rRNA from 1 species